UAAAAAUAUUUAUAAAACACAUUUCCAUAUAAUUGUGUGUAUGUUAUAAAAUUCAAUGACCUACGCCUACGUUAUUAAUAUUUCACGAUUGUGCAUUUGUAAAAAGUACCCUUCAGUUUUCAAAACUAUAUUGAUUGACAAUUCAGCCAUUCAGGCAAGUUUAUCUUAUAUGAGUGAAAUAUUUCAUGCAACAUAAGUUUUAGAAUUACAGUAAAUGCAAUUCACUGGAAUAAAAUCGAACAAAAUUCAGAUCAUUAGCACAAAGUCGUUCAAAAACUGUUGGACAAAAUAAUAGCAAACUCAAGUUCUUUUCAAUUUUGAGGUGUGUCAAGUUGUCUGAAAUAUAACAUCCGACGUGGAAUAGAAAUCGGACGUAAGGCCAUGGUUUGUCGUAUUGGUAAACUCACAAAUAGUCUUCACUCCCUGGACUCGUGGCCACCAUUGCAAAGAGGACUUCUGCUCACAAUGACUACAUUAAUUUAAGUUACUAUGCAUGUUAAAAGACGUAUUUUCAAAUAUGAAUCAAGAAGCUUUCCUCAUCUUGUCUGGUGAAAUAAUAAAUCGGAUAAAAUACAAUUGUAACUUCGCUGGAUGUCCAACUCUCGAACUUGCUCAAGCCGACGGAUAGAAGCGAUGAAACUAUCUGGUAGAAAGCUAUGCACACCAACUUUUAGUAGGGAUAACACAAUUCGUAGGGUUGUUGAACGAAAUGACUGCGAGAACCUGGGAACAACUUAGAACACCAGCGUUACAUACCAAUUUCAACAAUGUAUCCGUUGGAUAUUUCACUUCAUCGCAUUUAUAGAAGAAGUCAUUUGCAACAACAACAACAUCUGAGCAUUGAGAAAUAUUUAGAGGUGAUGUCACGUUUAAAUCAAUCAAAGCAUUCCUGAUGUUAAGAAGAUCUUUCGAUGUCGGAUAUGGUGUUGGUGUAUACACUUCGAUCCA